GAAUUGAAGAGUUUGAUCAUGGCUCAGAUUGAACGCUGGCGGCAGGCUUAACACAUGCAAGUCGAACGGUAACAGGGAUUAGCUUGCUAAUUUGCUGACGAGUGGCGGACGGGUGAGUAAUGCUUGGGAAUCUGGCUUAUGGAGGGGGAUAACUACGGGAAACUGUAGCUAAUACCGCGUAAAAUCUUCGGAUUAAAGGGUGGGACUUUCGAGCCACCUGCCAUAAGAUGAGCCCAAGUGGGAUUAGGUAGUUGGUUAGGUAAAGGCUGACCAAGCCGACGAUCUCUAGCUGGUCUGAGAGGAUGACCAGCCACACUGGAACUGAGACACGGUCCAGACUCCUACGGGAGGCAGCAGUGGGGAAUAUUGCACAAUGGGGGGAACCCUGAUGCAGCCAUGCCGCGUGAAUGAAGAAGGCCUUCGGGUUGUAAAGUUCUUUCGGUGACGAGGAAGGUUGAUAGGUUAAUAGCCUAUCAAAUUGACGUUAAUCACAGAAGAAGCACCGGCUAACUCCGUGCCAGCAGCCGCGGUAAUACGGGGGGUGCGAGCGUUAAUCGGAAUAACUGGGCGUAAAGGGCACGCAGGCGGUGACUUAAGUGAGAUGUGAAAGCCCCGAGCUUAACUUGGGAAUUGCAUUUCAUACUGGGUCGCUAGAGUACUUUAGGGAGGGGUAGAAUUCCACGUGUAGCGGUGAAAUGCGUAGAGAUGUGGAGGAAUACCGAA
rnacentral:rRNA from 1 species